AGGGUUAUAGUUAAUAAUAACAUUUAAUUUGCAAUUAAAAAGUAUUGAAAAUUUUCAAUUUACCUUA
rnacentral:tRNA from 1 species